CCCUUUAUUUUCCGAAAAAAAAAAUAACAAAAGAAAAAACAAUUUGAUGAAAAUGUUUCCCACCUGAAACAGAGGCAUUGAAUAAGGACCUAGGUCAUGGGGCUGAAAACAACAAUUUGUUGAAAACCCAAAUCGGCCACAGCCAUUUUGCGUAAAGAUCAACAAACGGGAAAUAACACCAGGAACCAAGGUAAAAGGAUCUAUGCCUCGUUUACAGGAAAAACAAAAUGGGAGAGAGGAUCCAAAAGGAAAACCCUAGAGAGAAGCCUCAAUAGUUUUGAUGUGGCGUAGCUAUGACUCAAAACGCUUCCAUUAUCGAUAAGGAAGGCGAUCUUAAGGGCCACGCUUUUUAAGAUCAGAACAUUAAGAAACUUAAACAGAAAAUCGUAAGAGUUAUGUUACAGUAGGCAAAGAUAAAACCCUAGAUUUGAG
rnacentral:lncRNA from 1 species